ACCACUUCCCUCAUUGGGAUGUUAACUUUUCUAAGGUUACCCAGCAAUUCACAUUCAUAAUUCAUUAUGGGCACAGAGGAAUUGUUAUCAUGAUAAACGAAAAAGUUGAGUGUAAUUUUAGAUCAUUUGGAGUUUUAUUUUAAACGAUAAACCAUGAUAGUCAUUAGCAUUAAAUUUGAUCAACGAUGAAUUAUCUCAUGCUAUGAUUUGAAGUCGAUCGUACGAACAAAACAAACCACUAUAAAAUUAAUUAUAAAGAGAGUUUCAAAAAAUACAUCUAUCUAUACAAGACGUCCACGCAAAUCACUCUACAGCCUGGACUAUUACCUCCACUGGAGAGCAAAAAAACAUCAUGGCCACGAGAAAUACAUCAAGUUCUUUCAAUAGCUUAAUGGGAAAACGUAAAUACGUUUGUAAAAUAAAUACAUUUUUCAUCAUAAUAUUAAACAUAAUUGAAAUAACCAAUAAAGGAAUCUGACGAGUUAAUGACGUUGAACCAAGAAUGACAGCAACAGACACGAAGAAUGACGUACAAUUUCAAUUUAAUACCCGAAAUAAUCAGUGUAAAUCUAAACUUACAGAAAGUAUAUAGCAAAAGAUAUAUAACGAUUGCUACUUCAUAUACUCGUACAAUGUGACAACCAAACAUUCUAGAUCGAUCUAGAACGGUCGAAUUCACACAGACUUUCUUCUGUGCUAUGAACAAUGGAAACACGAGUGCGAGACAAAAAAAAAAAAACUAAGUUACUAACACCGACAGGAAUCCGGAUACCGUGAUACUAGUAAGAAUUACAAAAUUAGCGAAGUGAUUAAUAAUAAAACAGCCCAUGGAUUGUAUAUUUAAAGCUAUCUUCUACUAGGAUUCGUAUUGACAGUCGUGCAAUUGUCGUCAACGAUAUUCUACAAAUAAACUAGCGGACCUGACAGAAGUUGUCCUGUACACACGCCUUAAAUAUACGAGUAAUAUAUGAGUCGUCUAUUAUCAAAGGUGGCAAUCUGUGCAUUUGGACAAAAAAAUGCUAUUGAUAUGUCAAUACAGAUUGAUUUGAAUAUAAUCGUCUCCUUCAAAGAAUACGGUGCAAAACCUGCAUUAAAUAAAGGUUAAUACUUAACCUGUUAUUUAUCUAAGAUGUCGUUCAGAAGAGUUUUGUGACUACCAAUGGAAUACAAAGUCAAUAAUUCGUUUUUCUGAUUUACCAAUAAUUGUCCAAAAGUCACAUUGCCGGCUUUGAUAAUAGUCGACUCAUAUAUAGGACCUCUUGUGAGUCCGCACGGGUAGGUAUUUUAUUCGAGCCGCCGGCGCCGUUGUAGCUAUAACUGGGACCUUAGAACUUAUAUCUGAAGGUGGGUGGCGCAUUUACGUUGUAGAUGUCUAUGGGCUCCAGUAACCACUUAACACCAGGUGGGCUGUGAGCUCGUCCACCCGUCUAAGCAAUAAAAAAAAGAAUAAUAAUAAUAUAGUUGACCGAGUUGUGAAUCUAAACCAUUCUAGAAUCUACACCAACACACACACAAAAAUUCAUUAAAAUCGGUCCAUGCGUUUAUGAGGAGUUCAGUAACAUACACACGAACAGAAGAAUCUUAAAUAUAAUAUUAAGAUACGAUUAUUUAAUGAUUUUCAGAAGGAACCAGUCUUUCGGUAGAUUAAUGCGAUUCGAAUUACUCUCUAGUACCUUCUUAAUAGUCUUACUAAUCUAAUCUAGUUGUUUCGUAUAUUUUAAUUGUAUUAAUGGAGUAUGACAUUAUUUCCACGAAGAUUAUUUAUUUUAUAAGAAUUUUCUGCAAAUUGGAUUCUUAUUCCAGUUACAUUAGUGCCUAUAAUCUCGAAUGCCAUGUUAAUUUAGUUAUGGUUAUGUAAAUCUGUUAUGCUUAAAAUGUUACAAAUGUUA